rnacentral:snoRNA from 1 species
UUCAAAUGAUGAUUGUUUAUUUGCUACUCCUAAUUGUUUAUGGCGAUAAAUAUAACCACCAAAAAUUAGUCUGAUGAA